CCCAUUUCCCGUCAGCCCCAGCGGCUGAUUGGCGCCCUGGGCUCGGCGCGGUGCGGUGUGCGGCAGGGACUGCCAGGAGCCCGCAGG
ensembl:miRNA